UAAAAAGCGAAGAAAAGGAUUAGUACAUGCAGGAAGCCUUCAGAGAGAAGAUCCGUGAGCUGAAAGAUCUUUAGGGGAAAUGUAUGGAACCUGCCUUGGAGCUCUGUAUGAAAAUACAGCGUAGCACCGGCGAUAACGGUAAGAAGAGAGAAUGCAGUGACAUUAAUCAGGGUGGUACCGCCGGUUUCCGGUCCCUUAG
rnacentral:ncRNA from 1 species